GUCGGAUUAGCUCAGCUGGGAGAGCACUUGCCUUACAAGCAGGCUGUCGUAGGUUCGAUCCCUACAUCCGACA
rnacentral:tRNA from 1 species